rnacentral:rRNA from 1 species
CAGCCGCCGCGGGAAUACGUAGGGUGCGAGCGUUAAUCGGAAUUACUGGGCGUAAAGCGUGCGCAGGCGGUUUUGUAAGACAGGCGUGAAAUCCCCAGGCUCAACCUGGGAAUGGCGCUUGUGACUGCAAAGCUAGAGUGCGGCAGAGGGGGAUGGAAUUCCGCGUGUAGCAGUGAAAUGCGUAGAUAUGCGGAGGAACACCGAUGGCGAAGGCAAUCCCCUGGGCCUGCACUGACGCUCAUGCAUGAAAGCGUGGGGAGCAAACAGGAUUAGAUACCCGAGUAGUCCCUGUCUCUUAUAC